rnacentral:rRNA from 1 species
AUUGAACGCUGGCGACAGGCCUAACACAUGCCAGUCGAGCGGAUGAAGGGAGCUUGCUCCUGGAUUCAGCGGCGGACGGGUGAGUAAUGCCUAGGAAUCUGCCUGGUAGUGGGGGAUAACGUCCGGAAACGGGCGCUAAUACCGCAUACGUCCUGAGGGAGAAAGUGGGGGAUCUUCGGACCUCACGCUAUCAGAUGAGCCUAGGUCGGAUUAGCUAGUUGGUGGGGUAAAGGCCUACCAAGGCGACGAUCCGUAACUGGUCUGAGAGGAUGAUCAGUCACACUGGAACUGAGACACGGUCCAGACUCCUACGGGAGGCAGCAGUGGGGAAUAUUGGACAACGGGCGAAAGCCUGAUCCAGCCAUGCCGCGUGUGUGAAGAAGGUCUUCGGAUUGUAAAGCACUUUAAGUUGGGAGGAAGGGCAGUAAGUUAAUACCUUGCUGUUUUGACGUUACCAACAGAAUAAGCACCGGCUAACUUCGUG